GGAAGGAAAAGGAGGAAGAAGGUUGCCGUAGGUGAACCUGCGGAAGGAUCAUUCAUAAUAAAGUGUUUUAUGGCACUUUUUAAAAAUCCAUAUCCACCUUGUGUGCAAUGUUAGAUCUCGUCAAUCUUGGCGAGAUUUUUAUACAUCAACUCAUUCUUUAACUAAUUUGUCUGAAAAAUAUUAUGAAUACUUAAUUCAAAAUACAACUUACAACAACGGAUCUCUUGGCUCUC
rnacentral:misc_RNA from 1 species